rnacentral:rRNA from 1 species
GUGAGGAAUAUUGCGCAAUGGAGGCAACUCUGACGCAGCCAUGCCGCGUGCAGGAAGAAGGCGCUACGCGUUGUAAACUGCUUUUAACCGGGAAGAAACCCCAGGACGUGUCCUGGGUUGACGGUACCGGAGGAAUAAGCACCGGCUAACUUCGUGCCAGCAGCCGCGGUAAUACGUAGGGUGCAAGCGUUAUCCGGAUUCAUUGGGUUUAAAGGGUGCGUAGGCGGAGCGUUAAGUCAGUGGUGAAAUCCUGCAGCUUAACUGUAGACUGGCCAUUGAUACUGGCGCUCUUGAGUGCGCUUGAAGUGGGCGGAAUGUGCCGUGUAGCGGUGAAAUGCUUAGAUAUGGCACAUAACACCAAUUGCGAAGGCAGCUCACUAAGGCGAUACUGACGCUGAGGCACGAAAGCGUGGGGAUCGAACAGGAUUAGAAACCCCGGUAGUCC